UACGUAGGCAGCGAGCGUUGUUCGGAGUUACUGGGCGUAAAGCGUGCGCAGGCGGUUCGUUGUGUCGGCGGUGAAAGCCCCGGGCUUAACCUGGGAAUGGCCGUUGAAACUGGCGAACUGGAGUGUGGCAGAGGGGGGUGGAAUUCCGCGUGUAGCAGUGAAAUGCGUAGAGAUGUGGAGGAACACCAAUGGCGAAGGCAGCCUUCUGGGCCAACACUGACGCUCAUGCACGAAAGCGUGGGGAGCAAACAGG
rnacentral:rRNA from 1 species